AAAAAGUAAUAUAUUCUUCAUUAUUUGCAAAAUACUUUAAUUUGCAUUUUGUGUUUCAGCUUUUGAUUUAAUGUGUAAAUUCCAAAUUGUAUAAAAUUGUUAUUUAGUUAAAAAUUAAAGUAUACAAAUAUGCUAUAAUGGUAAUUGUCAUUGUAAACAACAAUUCAGAUUAUAUAUUACCGUUUAAAUAUCUAGUACUUAAUACCAGUUGCUUAUGACAACAAAAAUAUGGAUUAUCACACAUUAAGUAUGAGCAGAAAUAUUACAUAUUAUUGAAAUAACACAAACUGGUCUUCACUGUGUUAGAUAAGAACAUUUUGUAACAUUUUUGGCACUGGAGUUUAUUUUUCCCGUCUUUGAUUACAAAUGGUGGUGUACUUAUGCAUUUAAGCAUUUUGUCAUGAAUUUAUAUAGAAACUUUAUUUAUUGAAAUGUUAUUUUGUGUGAUAAUUCUUUGUUUUUUAAUCUGUGAAUUGUUGAGUCUUUCAAGUGAUGUUUUAAUUUCUUCAAAACUUUCACCAUUCCAAGAAAUAUUCCAAGACUAUUUUGAUAGAGUGUGGUGAUUUUGUUUAUGCCCCCGAAAGAUGGCAUAUAGUUUUUGAACUGUCCGUCUGUCUGUCUGUCAGUCGGUCCGUCCGUCCGUCCGUCCGAAAACUUAAACAUUGGUCAUAACUUUUUAAAUAUUGAAGAUAGCAACUUGAUAUUUGGCAUGCAUGUGUAUCUGACGGAGCUGCACAUUUUAAGUGGUGAAAGGUCAAUGUAAAAAAUAUGGCUUGAACGCGGCGCAGAAGGAGGCAUUGUAUUUAUGACAAACACGUCUCUUGUUCAAUUUUUAUCAACGAAUAAACAAACCAUGUCCGUGCAUUCUUGUUUGGAGCUGCAACGUCCUGGUUUUAAUGACGCACUGGCAGAGUGCAAAUGCACACACUAGUCUGGAGCUAUGCUAGUCCCAAAUGGUGUAAGCCUAGUUUUGCUUGACACGGCUUACAUUUAUACACAUUUGGUAACUGCUCAUACCUUACCACUGUUCGUUAAAGCUAACAUGGUGGUGUUAAAACUGGUGCAGGCACAUUUCUUUUAACUCAAAAUAAACUUGCUGCAUAUGCAACUGUAGCAUGACCAGUAACUGUUAUUGGCUGUCAUGUUCACAGGACUCCCCAACUACAAGUGGGCCCUCCCCCUUGUGUCCAAACAAGUAUAAGAACAUCGAGGAUGCGCUCAGAAAGCGUGCUCAUACUGUCUCUGCAGAGGAUGUCACAAUGCAGCCCAUUUACGCAGGCUUUGAAAGGAGCAAAACACUUUGUCGUUCCGAAAGAAUCUUUAAGGGUACGAGAAGCAAAGACGUUCCCCAGUGGAGCCUCUGGUUUGCCUACGCUGAAACGCAAGAUGUCUUUCUCAGCAACAUUGUUACGGAAAACUAAAUCCUUCAUAAAGUUAUGGAGAGACUGAGAGUCUAAAACUCAGAGUGAUUUUGGCAUUGUCUAGCCAAAGUCCAAACGUCUGUUGACAUGACACUGCUGGGUACAGUUUAACUGGAAGAUAUUAAUAAAUGUUCAUCUUUUAUUAUACAAUCAAGGUUUCAUUAUAAUUUUUUUACUUGUGAUUCGUAUUUUUAGUUAAUAUUUUCUUAAAUGUGAAAAAAUUUGAUAGUAUAUCAUACAAAUCACCAUCUAACAUUAUUUAGUUACUAUUUUCUUAAAUGUGGAGACAUUGAAAGUAAAUGAUAUAAAGCACCAUCUAACAGUGUAACAAGAUACAACAAAGAAGGUCCUUGUUAUUCUAAAAGUUUUUAGAUAAUGUGUUAACUGAUCAUUUGAGGGAGUAGUCAAGCUGAGCAGCAGUUAAGUUCUUUCUUUCAUUGUCGAGUUACUGUUCUUGAUGCAUUUAUGAGUAACUGUUCUUGAUACAUAGAUGAGUUACUGUUCUUGAUGCAUUGAUGAGUUACCUCUCUUGAUCUGUAAUUUAACAUGGAUGGUCCAGUAGCCUCUUAUCUUUCACUUGUUAUUUAUAUCAACAAUGCAUUGCCGCUGAUGUUAUGCUGACUGUGAUAUCUCUUAUAUGGAAUCUUGGCUGCAUGUAACUGGGGGUAAACUGGACCACCCAAGAAAACUGUCGGAUAUGAACCUAGGGUUCCUAAAAGGCAAGCCAAUCACUGUGCUAACCAGAAAACAAGGUUAUGGUUUUUCAAUGGAAAUAUGUAGUUUUUCAAGGAAUGUUAUUAAUGUACAUUAAUCCUCAUAUUGCAAGGUAGUAACUUCAUGAACAUAUGCACCCAUUUCCAUACUGAAGUAGAACAUCAUGUGUCCUUUCUGAUUUGAGACUUUGAGAUGUUCUUGAAACAUAACAUGGGCCCGUAUUCACGAACCCAUUCUUAGACUUAAGAAUAAAGAAUAUACUAAGAACCAAGAAAAAUGCGUUCAGUGUUUGAAUGUUUGCAAGCUACCACUGGUGAUUAUAUCAUUCACAAAAUGUUCUAUAAGAAUAAUGAUGUAGAUAGAGGUGGUUAAUAUGGUUUAUUGAAAAUUUUAAUUUAAAGAAUUUUCUUUAUUCUUAGACUUAAGUCUAAGAAUUGUUUGGUGAAUACGGGCCCUGAUCUGCACUUUGAACCGACAUGGUUACAUGUAAAGUAAGUUUAACCACAAAAUACAAAUAUUGCUGAAAUGCUGUUGUGGCAGAUGUUUUAUUGGGUAUCAUAUUCAUCAUCAAACCUAGCAUGUAAUAUUUACGAUCUACCUUUUGAAAAAAAUCAAAGCUGUAUUUAUACCAAAUUAUUAGAACAAAUGGAUAGUAAAAUCAUUUCGACUGUGGAUGCUUAUAUUGUGUUCUUGCCCAUUAUGGGUCUGUUGGCUUUACAUUCAGAUACAUGUCACUAUCUUGGUAGAGAUAUUAGAGGUUCGUGGAGAGGUUAACAGAAGUUCAUGUUACAAUGCCGUUGAAGGGCUCUUUCUAAAGAGAUCAAUUGCAAACAAUAACUCCAGAAUUCAUAAAAAAAAUGCAAUUUUGUUGUUCCAUUAUUUGGUAGGAAAAUUGAAUUAAAUGCUGUUCGUUAUGGAUACUAUACUUUACAUUGUUGUCAUAAAACUAUUGUAUUAUCUCAGAUAAGUUCCUGGAUUGUAUAGCAAGCAUUAAUUUUCAUAUUCAUUUGAGCUGUGCUCUUUAAAUCUGGGCUAUUUCAAUGUGCUUUAAGUGUCGUCCCAGAUAAGCCUCUGCAGACUGCACAAUCUAAGCUGGCGGGAAACUUUGCACAUGCAUUAAAAUAAGUAAGGUUUUCAUAGGGCUCGACUUUUCUUAUACUUAUUUUUGCGGAAGAAUAAGAACCUGCUUUCAACUUCCUUUCAUACUUAUGAAAUAAGGUUAGUAACUUGUUUUUCUAUCAAUUUAUUCUAUUUCUAUUGGUCUCAUGCGAAGCACAGCCUUGGACAAUUAUAACCUGAGAGUGGGCAUUAAAUAGAGAAUAUAUGGUAUGAAAUUGAGAACUUUUGGAUUUGAAGCCACAUUCAUUGGAAACUUUACUUCAUGAAUGUGCGUUAAGUUUCAUUGCAGAUUAUUGUGUGCAGACUGCAUCGACUAAUCUGAGAUGGGUUUUUUUACGCACAAGCUUUAAGCCCAGUGUUUCCAGAGCGUGACUCAAAUUGAACUGUGUUUGCAGUAGUAUCAGUAGUCAUAGGCCCAGUUCUGUCAGCUCAUUAUGUUCUGAAAUGCCUUGCCUUGUAAGAAUUGCUCUUGUGACUUCGUAUCUGAUUCUUAAAGACCUGCUGGCGUAAUACUGUUUUCUACUGAUCCUGUCUCUCUGUUUGCUCUCUUGUUUCUCUGGAAAGUAAGCGGUGCAUCAUACAUAUGUGAUAAGUGUGUUUCCAUGUAGUAAAUAUCUUAAUAAUGCCUGUCUGUUAUCAAGGUAUAAAAAUGCAAUGUCAAAAUGGACUAGAAGGAUCCAUUAUUAUUGCAUAUGUAUGCAAUAUGUUUUGCUGGCUGUCUGUCGGUAAACGGUCGAUAGACCAGUUCGUUUCCGAUCAAUAACUUGAAUUGACCGAUUGGCUUGAUACUUUACAUGUGCAUUGGCAUUGGACAGUAGAUGACCCCUAUUGAAAUUGGGGUCACUAGGUCAAAGGUCAAGUCACUAUCACACUAAGUGAGAUAAUCGUUUCCGAUCAAUAACUCGUCAACGAAUUGACCGAUUGGCUUGAUACUUAACAAGUCAUGUAGGUAGACUCACACACCAAAUAUCGGGUCAAUAUAUUAAUGCUAUUUGAAAAAAAGGCCAGAAAAUGAAAUGCCGGAAGGACAGACGGACGGACGGACGGACAGUCCGACUGCUAUAUGCCAUCCUACCUGGAGCAUAAAAAUUAUCUCUAUAUAUGAAAGAGUUGCGUAAAAAAAAACGCCUGAAAACGGUAAAAUUAAUUAAAUUAUAGUUCGAUUGGUCAUUGUCGGCUUGGGUACUCUUGAAAGUGAGUCUACCAACAUAAUCUACAGAAGAAGUGUAAAAUUCGUUUAGGUCCAAUAAUGUUUGGCGUAGUUAUGGGCCUUGGACUUAUAAAAAAAAUCUCUAUAAUAACGCUCGAUUGGUCCCGGGAUUAGUUCUUCUUGAAUGCUCUGAGCUUUUAUGAGUACAUACGUACAGCUCAUAGUUCUUCCUGUCAAAGUCAAAGGUGUAUUUUGUAGAGAAAUGCUUAAAACAUAAACUUGAUAACAAAUCGUUUAUGGCUGAAGUUGUGAAUUGUCGAUUAGUGCAAAGCGAAAGAAAAGGUUACACUGCACAAAUUGUUUUCACCGUAGUAUCUGACGAUCUGGUCUUAUGGUAGCAGUUGAAAUUGUAUUGCGCAUAACAGUGUAGUUUGAAUUACGACACAUUCUUAUUAUUAUUCCCUCUGCGAUCGGAUAAGUGGUAGAGUCCGUGCUUUUAGAUACGGCAUUGUAGAUACAGUUAUUGCGCUGUAUACUAAUUGGACUGAAAAUCCGGAAAAAAUGGAUGUAGUGUCGGGUGUUCUUACAUGCCUAGAGAUAAGGCUGUAGUAUGGAAUACUUAAUAAAUAUUUUUUUUUUCAUGCUAUACAAUUUAGUAUUUAAUUAAUUAACGGAAUGAAAUAAAUAUUAGCAUAAACGUAUAUAGAUGUAUGUCUACUUAUGCACAUAUUGUAAAGCUUUGAUAAUGUGUGUAAAUAUUGAAAUGCAUAUUAAAAUAAAAGUAUAUUGAA